UGCCGAGGUGGUGGAAUUGGUAGACACNNGGUAGCUCGUCGGGCUCAUAACCCGAAGGUCGUUGGUUCAAAUCCAGCCCCCGCAACCA
rnacentral:tRNA from 1 species